rnacentral:rRNA from 1 species
CCUACGGGUGGCAGCAGUGAGGAAUAUUGGUCAAUGGGCUUACGCCUGAACCAGCCAAGUCGCGUGAGGGAAGACUGCCCUAUGGGUUGUAAACCUCUUUUGUCAGGGAGCAACGCCGGCUACGUGUAGCCGGACGGAGAGUACCUGAAGAAAAAGCAUCGGCGAACUCCGUGCCAGCAGUCGCGGUAAUACGGAGGAUGCGAGCGUUAUCCGGAGUUAUUGGGUUUAAAGGGUGCGUAGGCGGAAUGCCAAGUCAGCGGUAAAAUCGCGGGGCUCAACCUCGCUCCGCGGUUGAAACUGGCGUUCUUGAGUGGGCGAGAAGUAUGCGGAAUGCGUGGUGUAGCGGUGAAAUGCAUAGAUAUCACGCAGAACUCCGAUUGCGAAGGCAGCAUACCGGCGCCCAACUGACGCUGAAGCACGAAAGCGUGGGUAUCGAACAGGAUUAGAUACCCGUGUAGUC